rfam:Ornithorhynchus anatinus chromosome 7, whole genome shotgun sequence.
UGCCAAGAGCAGAGCCAGAUUCUGACAUCUUGUAUGACAGCUGCAUCCGCAGCCUGAUUCUAGCUCUGGACUGAGGCUU